rnacentral:rRNA from 1 species
GACGAACGCUGGCGGCGUGCUUAACACAUGCAAGUCGAACGGAAAGGCCCUGCUUUUGUGGGGUGCUCGAGUGGCGAACGGGUGAGUAACACGUGAGUAACCUGCCCUUGACUUUGGGAUAACUUCAGGAAACUGGGGCUAAUACCGGAUAGGAGCUCCUGCUGCAUGGUGGGGGUUGGAAAGUUUCGGCGGUUGGGGAUGGACUCGCGGCUUAUCAGCUUGUUGGUGGGGUAGUGGCUUACCAAGGCUUUGACGGGUAGCCGGCCUGAGAGGGUGACCGGCCACAUUGGGACUGAGAUACGGACCAGACUCCUACAGGAGGCAGCAGUGGGGAAUAUUGCACAAUGGGCGGAAGCCUGAGGCAGCAACGCCGCGUGCGGGAUGACGGCCUUCGGGUUGUAAACCGCUUUCGCCUGUGACGAAGCGUGAGUGACGGUAAUGGGUAAAGAAGCACCGGCUAACUACGUG